rnacentral:rRNA from 1 species
CGCGCAGGCGGUCGUAUAAGUCGAAUGUGAAAGCCCCCGGCUCAACUGGGGAGGGUCAUUCGAUACUGUUCGACUCGAAGGCAGGAGAGGGAAGUGGAAUUCCGGGUGUAGUGGUGAAAUGCGUAGAUAUCCGGAGGAACACCAGUGGCGAAGGCGACUUUCUGGCCUGUUCUUGACGCUGAGGCGCGAAAGCUAGGGGAGCAAACG